ensembl:snRNA U6 U6 spliceosomal RNA
CUGCUUGCUUCUGAAGCACAUAUACUAAAAUUGAAAUUAUACAGAGAAGAUUAACUUGGUACCUGAUCAAGGAUCACAGACAAAUUUGAGAGUCAUUCCAUAUUUUU